CCGUAGGCCCCUCUCUUUGUCCUUCCUUCCUGGUUCUCCCUUUUGCUCCUUCUUCCGUUUUCUUCAGAGGUGAAAUCUCCGGGCUUAACCCGGAGGGUGCCUUUGAUACGGCAUGGCUUGAGUCCGAGAGAGGGUGAUGGAAUUCCUGGUGUAGCAGUGAAAUGCGUAGAUAUCAGGAGGAACACCGGUGGCGAAGGCGGUCACCUGGCUCGGCACUGACGCUUAGGCACGAAAGCGUGGGGAUCAAACAG
rnacentral:rRNA from 1 species